rnacentral:lncRNA from 1 species
GUUUGGAUGAAUGGUGCUGUCAAGCCUUGGCUGGUGUGACUUGUACUGACAUUGGUUCACCAUACAUACACUUAAGGCCUUUAAAUAUAUAUGAUGUAUAAUUAGCACACAGUCCAAAUGCGAAACGACUUCUUCUCUGGACCAUCCGUCCGUAUUAUAAGAACUUUCUACUCUCAGCAAUCUUCUUCAUAUCAGUCUUCUUUCGAAGAAGAAAUAGUCUUUCAGAA